rnacentral:misc_RNA from 1 species
GCUGUUGAAGUUCCGUCCACAAAUGGAUAAUAUUUCCGUCUUAUAUUAGUGUAUACGAUUUAUUGAAAGUAUAAUCAAGGAGAAAUAACCAAUUGAUUCUAUCAAGAAGUGAAUUCUCCUUGAUUAUACUAAGGUCAGUAUUCUGUACAUUAUAUUAAUAUAUUAAUAAUUCAUAYAUAAUGAAAUUUUAUAAUUAAUAUUAUAAUUAUGAAAUCUAUCUUCAUAUUUUAUGGUAUAAAUUCAGUCUUUUUUGAUUUGUAAAUAAAAAAAUAUGUAAAUAUUUAUAACUUUAUAAAAAGGAUUCAUUAURSGGCGGAUGUAGCCYSAGUGGAUCRAGGCGGUGGAUUGUGA